rnacentral:rRNA from 1 species
CCUACGGGAGGCAGCAGUGGGGAAUUUUGGACAAUGGGCGAAAGCCUGAUCCAGCAAUGCCGCGUGAGUGAAGAAGGCCUUCGGGUUGUAAAGCUCUUUUGUCAGGGAAGAAACGGUGUGGGCUAAUAUCCCGCACUAAUGACGGUACCUGAAGAAUAAGCACCGGCUAACUACGUGCCAGCAGCCGCGGUAAUACGUAGGGUGCAAGCGUUAAUCGGAAUUACUGGGCGUAAAGCGUGCGCAGGCGGUUUUGUAAGUUUGUCGUGAAAGCCCCGGGCUCAACCUGGGAAUUGCGAUGAAGACUGCAAGGCUUGAAUCUGGCAGAGGGGGGUAGAAUUCCACGUGUAGCAGUGAAAUGCGUAGAGAUGUGGAGGAACACCGAUGGCGAAGGCAGCCCCCUGGGUCAAGAUUGACGCUCAUGCACGAAAGCGUGGGGAGCAAACAGGAUUAGAUACCCUGGUAGUCCACGCCCUAAACGAUGUCUACUAGUUGUCGGGUUUUAAUAACUUGGUAACGCAGCUAACGCGUGAAGUGACCGCCUGGGGNGNGCGCGCGAAGUAGUAAAUUAAAUUAGUAGUUAGUUAGNGNGNGAGNGCGACGACGACGACGAGGAGGAGG